GAUGAACGCUGGCUACAGGCUUAACACAUGCAAGUCGAGGGGAAACGCCGGGGAAGCUUGCUUCCCCGGGCGUCGACCGGCGCACGGGUGAGUAACGCGUAUCCAACCUGCCUCUGACUGAGGGAUAACCCGUCGAAAGUCGGCCUAAUACCUCAUGGCAUCGUCUGCGGGCAUCCAACGACGAUUAAAGAUUUCAUCGGUCAGAGAUGGGGAUGCGUCUGAUUAGCUUGUUGGCGGGGUAACGGCCCACCAAGGCGACGAUCAGUAGGGGUUCUGAGAGGAAGGUCCCCCACAUUGGAACUGAGACACGGUCCAAACUCCUACGGGAGGCAGCAGUGAGGAAUAUUGGUCAAUGGGCGAGAGCCUGAACCAGCCAAGUAGCGUGCAGGAUGACGGCCCUAUGGGUUGUAAACUGCUUUUAUGCGGGGAUAAAGUGAGGGACGUGUCCUUCAUUGCAGGUACCGAAUGAAUAAGGACCGGCUAAUUCCGUG
rnacentral:rRNA from 1 species